rnacentral:rRNA from 1 species
AAUAGAUACCCCGGUAGUCCACGCCGUAAACGAUGGAUGCUAGCUAUUGGGGGGAAUCGACCCCCUCCGAAGCGAAGCUAACGCGUUAAGCAUCCCGCCUGAGUAGUACGAGCGCAAGCUUAAAACUCAAAGGAAUUGACGGGGACCCGCACAAGCGGUGGAGCGUGUGGUUUAAUUCGAUGGUAAACGAAGAACCUUACCAAGGUUUGACAUCCCGGUAGCCGUUCUCCGAAAGGAGAAUUUCAUUUAGUUGGACCGGUGACAGGUGAUGCAUGGCCGUCGUCAGCUCGUGUCGUGAGAUGUUGGGUUAAGUCCCGCAACGAGCGUAACCCUUAUGAUUUAGUUGGAUUUUUCUAAACAGACUGCCCUGGUAACAGGGAGGAAGGAGGGGAUGAUGUCAGGUCAGUAUUUCCCUUACACCUUGGGGCGACACACGCGCUACAAUGGCCGGUACAAUGGGCAGCUAAGCCGCGAGGUGGAGCAAAUCCCAUCAAAGCCGGUCCCAGUUCGGAUUGCAGGCUGAAACCCGCCUGCAUGAAGCCGGAAUCGCUAGUAACC